UACGGGGGGGGCAAGCGUUGUUCGGAAUUACUGGGCGUAAAGGGCUCGUAGGCGGCCAACUAAGUCGGAUGUGAAAUCCCCAGGCUCAACCUGGGAACUGCAUCCGAUACUGGAUGGCUUGAAUUCGGGAGAGGGAUGCAGAAUUCCAGGUGUAGCGGUGAAAUGCGUAGAUAUCAGGAAGAACACCCGUGGCUAAGGCGGCUCUCUAGUACGGUACUGACGCUGAGACGCGAAAGCGUGGGGAGCGAACAGG
rnacentral:rRNA from 1 species